UUGCAGUUAAAAAGCUCGUAGUUGGAUUUCUGGUCUGAUGCCCUGGCCCGCGCCUAAUUUGGUGUGAGUGCCGGUUGUGCGUCUGCCAUCCUUCUAGAAAACGUUCCUACCCUUCACUGGGCCGGGUUCGCGAUCUAAAUCUUUUACUUUGAAAAAAUUAGAGUGUUUAAAGCAGGCUUUUGCUAUGAAUACAUUAGCAUGGAAUAAUAAUCUAGGACUUCGGUUCUAUUUUGUUGGUUUCUAGUACUGAAGUAAUGAUUGAUAGGGAUAGUUGGGGGUGCUAGUAUUGAGCGGCCAGAGGUGAAAUUCUUGGAUUCGCUCAAGACUAACUUAUGCGAAAGCAUUCACCAAGGAUGUCUUCUUUAAUCAAGAACGAAAGUUGGGGGAUCGAAGACGAUCAGAUACCGUCGUAGUCUCAACCAUAAACUAUGCCAACUAGGGAUGAAUGAACGUUGCAUUUUCGACUUCAUUCGCACCUUAUGAGAAAUCAAAGUUUUUGGGUUCCGGGGGGAGUAUGGUCGCAAGGCUGAAACUUAAAGGAAUUGACGGAGGGGCACCGCCAGGAGUGGAGCCUGCGGCUUAAUUUGACUCAACAC
rnacentral:rRNA from 1 species